CAGGAUUCUAAUCUAAAUGAUAACUCUUUAAGAAUAAUCUUUCUGCCAGGCGGAGACUUUUGUUCUCUCCAUAGAAAAACGCGGGAUAAAAUGGACAAAAACAAAAGGAGCAUAGCAAUCGGCUGACCAUUUUAAAAGCAAAGUGAGAGGAGAACGGAAUGUUUGGAAAAAGUGGAGGCAGUCUGUUUCCGGUACUGGUCGAGAAAAGACACGAGUUAUAUUGGAGGCAUUUAUCUUCCGACGAAAAGGAGUUAAACAAAAUUUGUUGUUAUGGUAAAGAUUCCGAUUGGUGGACCAGCUGCCUUUAUUUUAAUAAAUUUAUUUUAUGGUUUAACAACCGUAGUGGUCUGGAGUCAUUUGGAGUGGGAUAGACGGACCUUUCCCAUCCCGACUGGCCGUAAUAAACUCGGUCUACCGCGGUGGGGCCAGACCCGUAGUCCCCGAGUUGUACCUAGCUAAUAUUUAAUUUUGUUAAAUGGGUGGAAGUGAAGAACAAUUUUCUGUAGUUAAAAACAUCUCGGUCUUACGACUCUGGGCCGCAUGCAUAAAACUAACAGAGUUGCAGAAUUACCGGAUCUUGUUGACGUC
rnacentral:lncRNA from 1 species